UUCCGGUUGAUCCUGCCGGGGGUCACUGCUAUCGGUGUCCGAUUAAGCCAUGCGAGUCGAGAGGUGUAAGACCUCGGCAGACUGCUCAGUAACACGUGGAUAACCUGCCCAAGGGUCCGGGAUAACCCCGGGAAACUGGGGAUAAUACCGGAUGGGUCACCAGUGCUGGAAUGCUUGGUGGUCGAAAGGUGACGCCUUUGGAUGGGUCUGCGGCGGAUUAGGUUGACGCCGGUGUAACGUACCGGCGUGCCUGUAAUCCGUACGGGUUGUGGGAGCAAGAGCCCGGAGAUGGAUUCUGAGACACGAAUCCAGGCCCUACGGGGCGCAGCAGGCGCGAAAACUCUACAAUGCAGGCAACUGCGAUAGGGGGACAUCGAGUGGCAUCCACCUUGGGUGUCUGUCCAACCGUCUAAAAAACGGUUGUUAGCAAGGGCCGGGCAAGACCGGUGCCAGCCGCCGCGGUAAUACCGGCGGCUCGAGUGGUGGCCGAUAUUAUUGAGUCUAAAGGGUCCGUAGCCGGCUUUGCAAGUCCCCUGGGAAAUCCGGCGGCUUAACCGUUGGGCUUUCAUGGGAUACUACAUUGCUUGGGACUGGGAGAGGUAGGAGGUACUCGGGGGGUAGGGGUGAAAUCCUGUAAUCCUCCGGGGACCACCGGUGGCGAAGGCGUCCUACCAGAACAGGUCCGACGGUGAGGGACGAAAGCUAGGGGCACGAACCGGAUUAGAUACCCGGGUAGUCCUAGCCGUAAACGAUGCCCGCUAGGUGUCACGACGGUCGUGAAUCGUCGUGGUGCCGUAGGGAAGCCGCGAAGCGGGCCACUUGGGAAGUACGGCCGCAAGGCUGAAACUUAAAGGAAUUGGCGGGA
rnacentral:rRNA from 1 species